rnacentral:rRNA from 1 species
UACGAAGGGGGCAAGCGUUGUUCGGAAUUACUGGGCGUAAAGGGCGCGUAGGCGGCUUAUCAAGUCAGGCGUGAAAUUCCCGGGCUCAACCUGGGGGCUGCGCUUGAUACUGAUUGGCUUGAAUGCGGGAGAGGAUAGUGGAAUUCCCAGUGUAGAGGUGAAAUUCGUAGAUAUUGGGAAGAACACCGGUGGCGAAGGCGGCUAUCUGGCCCGUAAUUGACGCUGAGGCGCGAAGGCCAGGGGAGCAAACGGG